UUAAUUAAAGCCAAAAUAAGAGGCAUAUCAUUGUUAAUGGUAUCAUUGAACCUUAAUUCUAAUUAAA
rnacentral:tRNA from 1 species